GGGUAUCAUCAGCUCUAGGUCCUUACUGGGGCUUUCAACAAGGUUGGAUGAAAUGGCUAAGUGGGGUUAUUGAUAAUGCCUUAUACCCGGUUUUGUUUCUAGAUUAUCUGAAAUCUGCAGUACCAGCACUUGGGAGUGGUUUCCCUAGGGUAGCAGCUAUUCUGGCAUUGACUCUUGCUCUGACUUACAUGAACUACAGGGGUUUAACUAUAGUGGGAUGGGUUGCUAUACUCUUAGGGCUGUUUUCCCUUCUUCCUUUUGUGUUUAUGGGACUUGUAGCAAUCCCCAAAUUGGAGCCUUCAAGAUGGUUUGUGAUAGAUUUGGGUAAUGUGGACUGGGGUUUAUACUUGAAUACUCUCUUUUGGAAUCUCAACUAUUGGGACUCGAUUAGUACUCUUGCUGGAGAGGUGGAAAAUCCAAGUAAAACUCUUCCCAAAGCUCUCUUUUAUGCUGUUAUCUUGGUUGUUUGUGGGUACUUUUUUCCUAUCUUGAUUGGUACUGGAGCAAUUCCACUCAAUCGUGAACUAUGGUCUGAUGGAUAUUUCUCAGAUAUUGCAAAAAUUCUGGGAGGUGUAUGGUUAAGAUUGUGGAUCCAGGGUGCUUCUGCUUUGUCAAACAUGGGCAUGUUUGUGGCUGAGAUGAGCAGUGACUCCUUCCAACUUCUGGGAAUGGCAGAGCGUGGGAUGCUUCCUGAGUUCUUUGGCAAGAGGUCUUGUUAUGGAACUCCUCUUGCUGGGAUCUUAUUCUCUGCAUCUGGUGUGAUUUUGCUUUCAUGGUUGACUUUUCAGGAGAUUGUAGCUGCAGAGAACUUCUUAUACUGUUUUGGAAUGAUUAUGGAAUUUAUAGCAUUUGUGAAAUUGAGGAUGGAAUACCCAGGAGCUCCUAGGCCUUAUAAAAUACCUGUUGGGAUAGCUGGAGCAAUUUUGAUAUGCAUUCCUCCAACACUACUAAUUUUAGUGGUCUUAGCAUUUGCUUCUCUCAAAGUCACGGCCAUUAGCAUCAUCACAGUGAUUUUAGGGCUUGCCCUGCAGCCCUGUUUGAUGUAUGCUGGAAAGAAGAGGUGGUUUAGGUUCUCUGAGAAUUCUGACCUUGCUGACAUCCAUUUCACUUAUCACGAGCGUAAUGCACCGUGAAUGUGGUUUCCUUCUCAAUUCUCUGUGCACACGAAAUGCAUAUUCCAUUCAAUCCUUCUUAAAUGCUUAAAUUUUCUGUUGUUUUAAACAUGUUCAUCAGUGACUUGACAA
rnacentral:misc_RNA from 1 species